rnacentral:RNase_P_RNA from 1 species
GCUUCGUAUUUAACGAAGAGGAAAGUCCGGACAGCAUAGAGCAGUGCACUUCCGAAAGGGAAGGCAGGCCAUAGGCUUGACAGAAAGUGUAACAGAAAAAAACCGUCUGCCAAUAGCAGAUAAGGGUGAAAAUGUGGGGUAAGAGCCCACACACUUGCUUGGCGACAAGCAUUUGGUACAAACCUUGCACGCUGAAAGACCAAAUAGGCCAGUGAUAAUGUGGCUCGCAUUGUUGGUGGGUAGGUCGUAUGAGUUGACUUGCAAAAGUUGACCUAGAUAAAUGAUGGACCUCCAUUUUGGAGAACAGAAUCCGGCUUACGAAUUUGC